UCCGCUUCGUAUCGUUCAUUUUCUUUUGACCACCGAAACGAAGCACAAGCGUACAGCGUAUGGCAUGAAGCCGGCAGAGUGAUUGUGGAAAAUUUUAAUCCGUUGGCAUCGGUGUCACAAUGUGUAAAAUACUCUAUUAAAACGGCAAAAGUUUUGGUCAUUGAGUUGGAGUGAAAAUUCAACAGCCUCAUCAUGUAUCUGUACAAUUUGACGCUGCAGAAGGGAACGGGUGUGACGCACGCCGUCCAUGGCAACUUUUCUGGCGGCAAGCAGCAGGAGAUACUCCUGUCACGUGGCAAGUCACUGGAGCUGCUGCGACCCGACUCGAACACCGGCAAAGUGCACACGCUGCUCUCGACGGAGAUCUUUGGCUGCAUACGCGCGCUGAUGGCCUUCCGUCUGACGGGCGGAACAAAAGAUUAUAUCGUGGUUGGCUCUGAUUCCGGCCGCAUUGUUAUACUGGAGUACAUGCCCGCCAAGAAUGCAUUGGAGAAGGUGCAUCAGGAGACGUUUGGCAAGUCGGGCUGCCGCCGCAUUGUGCCGGGACAGUACUUUGCCAUCGAUCCCAAGGGUCGUGCCGUGAUGAUUGGCGCCGUGGAGAAGCAGAAGCUGGCCUACAUCAUGAAUCGCGACACGCAGGCACGCCUCACGAUCUCAUCUCCGCUGGAGGCACACAAAUCCAACACCUUGACCUAUCACAUGGUCGGUGUGGAUGUUGGCUUUGACAAUCCCAUGUUUGCCUGCCUGGAAAUUGACUACGAGGAGUCUGACUUGGAUCCAACAGGCGACGCUGCACAGCGCACACAGCAAACGCUCACAUUCUACGAGCUGGAUCUGGGCCUGAACCACGUGGUGCGCAAGUACUCGGAGCCCCUGGAGGAGCAUGCCAAUUUCCUGGUCUCUGUUCCCGGCGGCAAUGAUGGACCCUCGGGCGUGCUAAUUUGCUCAGAGAACUAUCUGACUUACAAGAAUCUCGGCGAUCAGCAUGAUAUACGUUGCCCCAUACCGCGUCGUCGCAACGAUCUGGAUGAUCCGGAGCGUGGCAUGAUCUUCAUUUGCUCGGCCACGCAUCGCACCAAGAGCAUGUACUUCUUUCUGCUGCAAACCGAGCAGGGCGACAUCUUCAAAAUCACCCUAGAGACCGACGAUGAUGUGGUGUCUGAGAUCAAGCUCAAAUAUUUCGAUACGGUGCCCCCAGCAGCGGCCAUGUGUGUGCUGAAGACGGGCUUCCUGUUUGUCGCCAGCGAAUUUGGCAACCACUAUCUGUAUCAGAUUGCACACUUGGGCGAUGAUGAUGAUGAGCCCGAGUUCAGCUCGGCCAUGCCAUUGGAGGAGGGUGAGACCUUCUUCUUUGCCCCACGCACCCUGAAGAAUCUUGUGCUGGUGGAUGAGUUGCCUUCGUUUGCACCGAUCAUUACCUCCCAGGUGGCUGAUUUGGCAAAUGAGGAUACGCCCCAGUUGUAUGUGCUGUGUGGCCGCGGGCCGCGUUCUACUCUGCGCGUGCUGCGACAUGGCUUGGAGGUGUCCGAGAUGGCCGUCUCGGAGCUACCCGGUAAUCCCAAUGCCGUUUGGACAGUCAAGAAACGAGCUGAUGACGAAUUCGAUGCCUACAUCAUUGUGUCCUUCGUGAAUGCCACGCUGGUGCUCAGCAUUGGUGAGACUGUGGAGGAAGUCACGGACAGUGGGUUCCUCGGCACCACGCCCACACUCUGUUGUGCCGCCCUGGGGGAUGAUGCCUUGGUGCAGGUCUAUCCGGAUGGCAUACGUCACAUACGCUCCGAUAAGCGUGUCAAUGAGUGGAAGGCGCCCGGCAAGAAAUCCAUCACCAAAUGUGCCGUCAAUCAGCGGCAGGUGGUCAUCACGUUGUCUGGCAGGGAAUUGGUUUACUUUGAAAUGGAUCCGACUGGCGAGCUGAAUGAGUACACAGAACGCUCGGAAAUGCUGGCAGAGAUUAUGUGCAUGGCUCUGGGCACAGUGCCAGAUGGCGAGCAACGUUCCUGGUUCUUGGCCGUUGGCCUGGCGGAUAACACUGUGCGAAUACUCUCAUUGGAUCCGAAUAACUGCUUGAUGCCCUGCUCCAUGCAAGCGCUGCCCUCGCCAGCAGAGUCGCUCUGCUUGGUGGAAAUGGGACACACGGAGAGCACGACCAGUGCGGGCGCUCAGGACGAUGAUGCACCGCCACAGCGCAGUGGCGCCAACAAGGGCACAAUCUACCUGAAUAUUGGCCUGAGCAACGGCGUGCUGCUGCGCACGGUACUCGAUCCGGUGUCGGGGGAUUUGGCGGACACCCGAACGCGCUACCUGGGCUCACGGCCCGUAAAACUGUUUCGCAUCAAGAUGCAGGGCUCCGAGGCGGUGCUGGCCAUGUCCAGUCGCUCCUGGCUGUCGUAUUACCAUCAGAAUCGAUUCCAUUUGACGCCGCUCUCCUACGAGACACUCGAGUAUGCCUCGGGCUUCUCCAGCGAGCAGUGCAGUGAGGGCAUUGUGGCAAUCUCAACCAACACGCUGCGCAUUUUGGCGCUGGAAAAGCUGGGAGCUGUCUUCAAUCAAGUGGCAUUUCCACUGCAGUUUACGCCGCGCACUUUCGUCAUACAUCCGGACACGGGGCGCAUGCUGAUUGCCGAAACGGAUCACAAUGCCUACACCGAGGACACGAAGAGUGCGCGCAAGGAGCAGAUGGCCGAGGAGAUGCGCAGUGCCGCGGGCGACGAGGAACGCGAAUUGGCACGGGAGAUGGCAAACGCGUUCAUCAAUGAGGUGCUGCCCGAGGAUGUUUUCUCGGCCCCGAAGGCUGGAUUGGGUCUGUGGGCAUCGCAGAUACGCUGCCUAGACGCCAUGCAUGGCCAGACGAUGUUCAGUGUGCCGCUGGCCCAGAACGAGGCCAUUAUGGCGAUGGCCAUGGUCAAGUUUUCGGUGGCAGCCGAUGGUCGCUACUAUCUGGCCGUUGGCAUUGCCAGGGAUCUGCAGUUGAAUCCGAGAAUAUCCCAGGGAGGCUGCCUGGACAUCUACAAGAUCGAUCCCACAUGCUCCAGCCUGGAGUUUAUGCAUCGCACAGAGAUUGAUGAGAUUCCCGGGGCAUUGUGUGGCUUUCAGGGUCGCCUGCUGGCCGGUUGUGGCCGCAUGCUGCGCAUCUACGAUCUCGGCAAGAAGAAAAUGCUGCGCAAGUGCGAGAACAAACACAUUCCCUAUCAGAUUGUCAACAUUCAAGCGAUGGGUCAUCGUGUCUACGUCUCGGAUGUCCAGGAGUCUGUCUUCUUCCUGCGCUAUCGACGGGCCGAGAAUCAGUUGAUCAUCUUUGCCGAUGACACGCAUCCCCGUUGGGUGACGGCCACCACGCUGCUGGACUACGACACCAUUGCCAUUGCGGACAAGUUUGGCAAUUUGAAUAUUCAGCGGCUGCCGCACUCGGUCACGGAUGAUGUUGAUGAGGAUCCCACUGGCACCAAGUCGCUGUGGGAUCGUGGCCUGCUCUCGGGUGCAUCCCAAAAGUCGGAGAACAUUUGCUCCUUCCACGUGGGCGAGAUCAUCAUGUCGCUGCAGAAGGCCACGCUCAUACCCGGAGGCUCCGAGGCGCUCAUCUACUCGACGCUCAAUGGCACUGUCGGCGCCUUUGUGCCGUUCACCAGUCGCGAGGAUUACGACUUUUUCCAGCACCUCGAGAUGCACAUGCGCAACGAGAACCCGCCGCUAUGUGGCCGCGAUCAUCUCAGCUACCGCAGCUCCUACUAUCCCGUGAAGAACGUGCUCGAUGGCGAUCUGUGCGAGCAGUACCUGUCCAUUGAGGCGGCCAAGCAGAAGAGCAUUGCGGGGGAUAUGUUCCGCACACCCAAUCAGAUCUGCAAGAAGCUCGAGGACAUACGCACGCGUUAUGCCUUCUAAGUUGAAUGUGGCGUGGCGGACAUGUGUCAAAUCUUUGGCUGGCACGGAACUCUGUGGCUAAGGUUUUGGCUAAAAGAAGCAACGCAAAUGCCGCUGAAUUCUUGCUGAUGAUUUUAAGCUGCUUCUACCAUCAAUGAGUCACUGGCAACAAAUAAAUCUAGCUCUACAUUAGUUUGUAAUUUACAACAAAAAAUCUACAACCACUAAAACGACUGCCGCUUAUUUAUAUUAGCAUUUAAAUUCGGUUGCAAAUUCCACAUUUUGCACACA